AAAAAUGCAAAUUCUGCAGCCUUAGCCCAGAUGAACUGCUUCCAAAUCCUUGGGAAGUGGAGUCCAGGAAUCUGAACUUUACCAACCCCUCCCUCCAGGC
ensembl:miRNA